GGUAGUGCAUGAUGGUAA
rnacentral:snRNA from 1 species